rnacentral:rRNA from 1 species
UGGGGAAUAUUGCACAAUGGGCGGAAGCCUGAUGCAGCGACGCCGCGUGAGGGAUGACGGCCUUCGGGUUGUAAACCUCUUUCAGUAGGGAAGAAGCGUAAGUGACGGUACCUGCAGAAGAAGCGCCGGCUAACUACGUGCCAGCAGCCGCGGUAAUACGUAGGGCGCAAGCGUUAUCCGGAAUUAUUGGGCGUAAAGAGCUCGUAGGCGGUUUGUCGCGUCUGCUGUGAAAGACCGGGGCUCAACUCCGGUUCUGCAGUGGGUACGGGCAGACUAGAGUGAUGUAGGGGAGACUGGAAUUCCUGGUGUAGCGGUGAAAUGCGCAGAUAUCAGGAGGAACACCGAUGGCGAAGGCAGGUCUCUGGGCAUUAACUGACGCUGAGGAGCGAAAGCAUGGGGAGCGAACA